UACGAAGGGGCUAGCGUUGCUCGGAAUCACUGGGCGUAAAGGGCGCGUAGGCGGCCAUUCAAGUCGGGGUGAAAGCCUGUGGCUCAACCACAGAAUUGCCUUCGAUACUGUUGGCUUGAGUUGGUAGAGGUUGGUGGAACUGCGAGUGUAGAGGUGAAAUUCGUAGAUAUUCGCAAGAACACCAGUGGCGAAGGCGGCUCACUGGCCCGAUACUGACCGCUGAGGCACGAAAGCGUGG
rnacentral:rRNA from 1 species